AGACCUCCCUCCCUCUCUCGUUUCCCCUGCCUCUCCCCUGCUGCUCCGCCGCUUCUCUUUCUUUCUCUCUCUCUCUCUCUCUCUGUACCUCUCCUCCAACCCCGCCCCUUCCCUGCUGCUUUGCCGCCGCCCGUCCUCGUUAGCUGCCGUGCCGCCCUCCUCUACCACUUCUCCACCGCGACUGUUGCGAUUUCGUGCGCGGAGUGAUUGGGCGAGCGCGACCUUCCCUACGAAGGCGACUCCGCGUCGAGUUCCAUGCCCAUCUCCCUUCUCCACGCCACCCCUACCAUCACCUCGACGCGGGGCAUGCCAGCUCCUCCUCUCCCCUUCCCUUAAUCCAGAUCCGUGGAGGUGGUCGGCAGGAACGCCAUCGACCUUAGGGUUGAGCAGUGGCGAUCAUCCCAGAUCAGAGUCAUCCGGCAUCGCUCGAGGGAGAUUACAGCGAUUUCAUGAUUGUGGGAGAUUCCUUGCUCUUUUGGGCCUGUGGAAGUGGCUACUUGUGGAGGUUGAUUGAUUUGGUUGGUUCGUUGCCACGAGAGUGACGGUUUGGAGAUAUGUUCUUGUUUUUGGUACAUGUUCAAAUACUGACAUAAAAAUAUAAUGUGAUAAAUUCAGAUACAUCUUUUUAAAUAGGCGAUAUGAUCUUGUUUGAUUUCUCUACAAGAUCUCAGAUAGCCAACUAGCAUCAUUCUUAAAUCAAAAGAAAGAUUGUGAUCCGCGCAGUUAUGAUAUGUCCUCAUAGUGAAUUUAAAACAUGAAAACUGUAACCUGAAGCUUUGAGCUUUAUCACCUGAUCUUUUCUGUUUAUAAUGAACACCAAGCUAUAAAUCUUCACGUGCCUUUCUUGUUUAAGGUUGUCAGUCGAUCUACGCGCAGCUGCGGCUCCGUGUCCUGACAAGGUCUCUAUGGAUAACAAGCGCAUUGAGUAUGUCGCCCUCCUGCUCGUCCGCUUCCUCGACAUCCUCUAGGACCUACACGGCCCCCACGCCCGCGAGUUCAUACAUCUGGUCUACUUCCGAGAUCCGCAUACCAUCUGUUCGAUGAUAUUCCCAUACAGAUUGUUUGGUUCUGUUUCUACUAUACAGGUGCUUAAUCUUGGUGUGGAUUGAGGCAUCACAAUUUUGUUAGGCUAGGGUAUUCAAGAUCAGGACACACAUCAUGGUGAGCUCCUUGGUCAUCAGCUGAUCCAUCACCGAGGUAUGUAUUCACCACUGACUUCUGAUCAUAUGGAUUCUCCUUAUAAUCUAGAGAUUACAGUUCUUCAGAAAAACUGUAUUAUCGAGUCGCGAGGUGCCGCUUGCUGUUAGACUAGCUGGAGAUGUGGUCCUCAACUAAUGCAAUGCGAGUAUGUGACGAUGACUUUGGCAUACGGAUGUUGUUGUUCCAACUUGAAUUUCAAAGAUACUUGAGAGGAAUUUCACCAGUUCCUGGGAUAAUUUGAUAUUUUGACGUGCUUUGGUAACUCUAUAUAUGUGUUUAAGUCGUAAGUCUGGUGGUUUCGUAGUUACUAUCCUCCCUCGAGGGCAGUGCUUGUGUUAGACAUUUUUGGGAUGCCACCCUUUGUAUUUCCGUGGGGAAAGAUAGAAGGAACAUAUAUUAAUGGAUUAUGACUGUAGUUAUUAGUUUGCGUGGGUUGGAUGUUUCGCGUAUUUGGUGUUUUUGCUCCUGGAUUGUGAAAUAUUUAUUUUGUUGAAUGUUUUCCCUUAUACUGGAUUAUGUUAUCACAUGAAGCAAAUGCUCAUUCCCCCCAUUUUUCUUGUAUUAUAUGUGUCCUUCCUUUUAGGCUUCAGGCGUUGCAAGCCAGACAUGAGUAUCUUGUUCAUUUGCACUGCUAAUUUUAUGAUUUUCUACUACAGAUGGAAAAUUUAUUCUCUAGGGGAUUGACGAACCAUUAAUCUAAUAGAACUGAUACAUGUAUAUGAUGUGUUGCCAGCAAUGUAAGUCGCCAUCAUGAGACCUGGCUUCUCCCCCAGCCUUCUCUUCUUGUUGACAAGGCUCGACGCUGCGCCUCCUUGCGACCCCUGUGGCGAUGCACGGCGCUGCUACUCCCCUAGGACUCAUCUAGAUGGUUUUUUCCCUAAAUUUUUCACAUCCUUCAGAUAAACUUUUCUUACUGAUUUUUUUUACUGUUUGUUGGUAACUGAUGUUUUAAAGUUGAAGCAGCCAAUGUUUUACAGAUCGAUAUGUACCCUCUGUACUGAAUAAAUGGGUGUCUCAAUAGAUGGAUUGGGUCAAAGUAUGUAUAUAUACCACACUUGAGGUCAGUUGUGUUUUCUCAGGUUUGAAUGAUGACUGUUUUCAGAAACUUCUUCCGAAUCUAGGUCAUAGGCUGCGACUGAAGAUGCAACAACAUACCUCAUUCUGCUAUGAUGUUAGCUUCCUGCUUUAGUUACCAGGCAAAAUUUCUUGCGCUUUGUGCCUUCGUGUUUCUCGUUCACAGCUGAAUGAUGAUUGGGGAAUUCCUUUUAAAUGUGGUUAACAAUAAGGAUGCAAUCGCCUAUAAUUAGCUUGCUUUUCUAUUGCUAAGUAACUUUCUUAUGCCAUCAUUUUCCGAGUAUUUUUAUGUUGCAGGUAUCUUGUCCAGAGCCAAUGGAGACAAGCAACACCAUGCUGCUGCUAUAUCUUAAUGGUCUUUCUUUCACAAUAGUGAUGUACUUUUUAUACGUUAGGCAGUGGUAACCUUCCUUCUUUUGAUGAUGUUAUACUACUUAGUUUUGGCAUACACCAAUGUACCAGCUUACUUCUGUUUCACUUAUUUUGCACUUAGCCGAGCUUGUUACUUUGAAUCUCAUGCAAUACCAUUACAUAGUAUAAAUAAGAAAG